rnacentral:misc_RNA from 1 species
CAAAGUAAAUCUUGCUCAACAGGAAGAGUUACCAUAAAUUCCAGCUGGGACUGCUCGGCAGAUGUGAAAGCAUCGAGGACCAUCAGGAACAAAGAAAAGUUAAAACAAAGCCGCGGAUAGCAAAAAAGUAUCCAACAAAUGCAGGGAAAUGCAAUAAGAAUUUUGUUGUUAGCCAAAAGAAAUUUUGAUGCAGAAAAAAAGGGUGUUAAAAAUCAUAUUGCAAAAUAUUAAAUUAAUUUUCCCAUUCCAGUCGUAUUAUAUUACAGCAUGCCAUUUGUUCCUUUGGAUUAAUCACAUUUCCCGUCUGCCUUCCCUCUCUUACCCACAAAGAGAUUGAAGUUAACUCUUACUGACUUAAUGGUAGUCUAGAAAUAAACAGUCAACAACAACAACAACAAAAAUGUAGGGAUCAAUUUAGAACAAGAGAGCAGUGAAUAAUAUUUGAUAGAGAACAAACGUAAGCCUAAAGCCAGAAGCGCCAUGAGAUAUCAAAGUUCACUCAAAACCAACUACAAUACCUAAUUCCCCUGGACUAAUGGCAAUA